rnacentral:tRNA from 1 species
AUCCCCGUAGCUCAGCGGAUAGAGCACCGACGCGAAAUUGGAGGUCGAGGGUUCGAGUCCCUCCGGGGAUA